GAUGAACGCUAGCUACAGGCUUAACACAUGCAAGUCGAGAGACCGGCGCACGGGUGAGUAACACGUAUCCAACGUGCCCUUUCCUCGGGGAUAGCCUUUCGCAAGAAAGAUUAAUACCCGCUAUAAAGGAUGGGGAUGCGUUCAAUUAGGUUGUUGGUGAGGUAACGGAUCACCAACCCUUCGAUGGAUAGGGGUUCUGAGAGGAAGGUCCCCCACGUGGGAACUGAGACACAGUCCAAACUACUACGGGAGGCAGCAGUGAGGAAUAUUGGUCAAUGGGAGCUAGCCUGAACCAUACAAGUAGCGUGAAGGAUGAAGGCUUAUGGGUCGUAAACUUCUUUUAUAUAAGAAUAUGAAUUAUAUGAAUACGGAUCGGCUAACUCCGCGCCAGCAGCCGCGGAAACUG
rnacentral:rRNA from 1 species